CGGUGCGAUCAUAUCAGCAUUAAUGCAUCGAAUCCCAUCAGAACUCCGCAGUUAAGCGUGCUUAGGCGAGAGUAGUACUAGGAUGAGUGACCUUUUAGGAAGUCCUCGUGUUGAACCCC
rfam:Gossypium raimondii Chr06_contig_386, whole genome shotgun sequence.